rnacentral:rRNA from 1 species
AGCGAACGCUGGCGGCAGGCUUAACACAUGCAAGUCGAACGCCCCGCAAGGGGAGUGGCAGACGGGUGAGUAACACGUGGGAACGUACCCUUUGGUUCGGAAUAACUUGGGGAAACUCAAGCUAAUACCGGAUAAGCCCUUAUGGGGAAAGGUUUACUGCCGAAGGAUCGGCCCGCGUCUGAUUAGCUAGUUGGUGAGGUAAUGGCUCACCAAGGCGACGAUCAGUAGCUGGUCUGAGAGGAUGAUCAGCCACACUGGGACUGAGACACGGCCCAGACUCCUACGGGAGGCAGCAGUGGGGAAUAUUGGACAAUGGGGGCAACCCUGAUCCAGCCAUGCCGCGUGAGGGAUGAAGGCCUUAGGGUUGUAAAGCUCUUUUAUUGAUGACGAUAAUGACGGUAGUCAAUGAAUAAGCACCGGCUAACUUCGUGCCAGCCGCCGCAGUAA